UAACACACAUCUUCACGGUUAUAUGUAAAAACAAUUAAUUUUUUCGAGGUCAAGAUUUAUAAUUUAACCGAGAGAGAGAGACACACACUCACUCUGUUUGGUGUUUUAAAAAGCACUUAUUCUUCAAACCCUCCUCUGUUGAGAAGAAACAAAUCUGAGGUUUCAUUUCUCUCAUCUGAAAGAUCAAAACACAAUGAGAACUCAGCUUUUGCUUCUUGGUUUGUUCUUCUGUUUCCUUCUCUUAAGUGCUUCUUUCAUGGACACUGCCAUGGCUGAUUCAGACCGGUGCACGAGACCGUGUAGGAAGAGGUGUUCGAAAGCGAAGCUGAAGCGUCGGUGCAUGAAGUAUUGUAGAAUAUGUUGCAGCAAAUGUAAAUGUGUGCCAGGGAGUUAUGGGAAGCACCAUUGCCCUUGCUAUAGCCAUGUUCACACCAUUAGAGGCAGGGCCAAAUGCCCUUAAACUUUUAAGAGACCGUUUGCAUUUAUUGUCUGUCCCUUAUUAUUAUGAAAUCAAAUAAUAUAAGCCAACCUAAAAUAGUACUAUAGAAAUGAAAUGAGACCAAAAUAAUUUUGUGUCUGAUAUGAAUAUUAAAUGCUUCAAAGUUUGAAUUGUGAGAUUUGGUGUGCUUUUUUUUUUUUUUUUUUUAAUAAUAAUAAUAAACAAUGUGUAUUUAUGAUUUGCCUU